rnacentral:rRNA from 1 species
UGGUUUAAUUCGAUGAUACGCGAGGAACCUUACCCGGGCUUGAAUUGCAGAGGAAGGAUUUGGAGACAAUGACGCCCUUCGGGGCCUCUGUGAAGGUGCUGCAUGGUUGUCGUCAGCUCGUGCCGUGAGGUGUCGGCUUAAGUGCCAUAACGAGCGCAACCCCUCUCCUUAGUUGCCAUCAGGUUAAGCUGGGCACUCUGGGGACACUGCCACCGUAAGGUGUGA